rnacentral:rRNA from 1 species
UACGGGGGGAGCAAGCGUUGUUCGGAUUUACUGGGCGUAAAGGGCGCGUAGGCGGCGUAACAAGUCACUUGUGAAAUCUCCGGGCUUAACCCGGAGCGGCCAAGUGAUACUGUUGUGCUAGAGUGCGGAAGAGGUAACUGGAAUUCCCGGUGUAGCGGUGAAAUGCGUAGAUAUCGGAAGGAACACCAGUGGCGAAAGCGGCUUCCUGGUCCAGCACCGACGUUCAGGCACGAAAGCGUGGGGAGCAAACAGG